GUCGAGCGGUAGCACAGAGAGCUUGCUCUCGGGUGACGAGCGGCGGACGGGUUGAGUAAUGUCUGGGAAACUGCCUGAUGGAGGGGGAUAACUACUGGAAACGGUAGCUAAUACCGCAUAACGUCGCAAGAACAAAGAGGGGGACCUUCGGGCCUCUUGCCAUCAGAUGUGCCCAGAUGGGAUUAGCUAGUAGGUGGGGUAACGGCUCACCUAGGCGACGAUCCCUAUCUGGUCUGAGAGGAUGACCAGCCACACUGGAACUGAGACACGGUCCAGACUCCUACGGGAGGCAGCAGUGGGGAAUAUUGCACAAUGGGCG
rnacentral:rRNA from 1 species